UCCACGCCGUAAACGAUGAGAACUAGAUGUCGGGAGGAUUUACCUCUCGGUGUCGCAGCUAACGCAUUAAGUUCUCCGCCUGGGGAGUACGCCGGCAACGGUAAAACUCAAAGGAAUUGACGGGGACCCGCACAAGCGGUGGAGCAUGUGGUUUAAUUCGAUGCAACGCGAAGAACCUUACCUGGUCUUGACAUCCUCGGAACUUUCCAGAAAUGGAUUGGUGCCUUCGGAAC
rnacentral:rRNA from 1 species